rnacentral:ncRNA from 1 species
AAAGACAAGCGCCGGAGCCUAAUGCGACAUAGGCUGACGAGGACAGGGAGUAUCGAGUUUUCGGCGGAUGCCCUGCGGCAGAUAUGUCGUGAGUAUAGGUACAAAUAUCGGAGCAAUCCGAAAACAAAAA